rnacentral:lncRNA from 1 species
UGGGGCCAUGAGAUCGAGUGAGCAGCAAGCCAGCGGAAGCAGCUCAAAAGCUGCUGCCGGAUUAUUAUUGUGGACUAGAGCAGGUGAACCAAGGAUUUUUAUUGACCUUGAGUUGCGGCAGCAGGAGCAUGAGGAUGAAUAACACCUACUACCUCGUCCACUACAUGCUAGUAAGUCAUUAAUGUUCAGUUGCAUUAUUAAGAAGAUAUAUGUGCUUAGUCGCAUCCCAAACCACAUUGUUAACCAAAAUUUAUUGAUUUGCGUGAAGCUGCAGCUUCAAUCUAUAUUUUCAGUGCAUGCGUGGACGAUGGAAGCUCGAUCAUCAAAUUAGUUAUAUGGUUCCUGUGUAAUUUGCAUAAGGUAUUAACAANN